rnacentral:misc_RNA from 1 species
GAUGAAGAACGUAGCGAAAUGCGAUAAGUAAUGUGAAUUGCAGAAUCCAGUGAAUCAUCGAAUCUUUGAACGCACAUUGCGCCCGCCAGCAUUCUGGCGGGCAUGCCUGUUCGAGCGUCAUUUCAACCCUCGACCUCCCUUUGGGGAAGUCGGCGUUGGGGACCGGCAGCACACCGCCGGCCCUGAAAUGGAGUGGCGGCCCGUCCGCGGCGACCUCUGCGUAGUAAACCAACUCGCACCGGAACCCCGACGUGGCCACGCCGUAAAACACCCAACUUCUGAACGUUGACCUCGAAUCAGGUAGGACUACCCGCUGAACUUAAGCAUAUCAAAAGCGGAGGA